GUUGCUUAUUUCUCUUCUUUAGGUGGAUUCUUAUGUAGUUCUUUUGUAAACAGAUCCUUAAUUCUUGCAUUGUUAAACCGAACUAUCACAUCUCUUGAGAACUGGGGCAUGUUUGGUGGUCUUGGUAAUCUAUGUAUUCUUUCAAUAGGAUAUGAUCCCCAAAAAUUUGUGGUCAAAAUAAAUCUUCAGAAGAUCCAUUAUAGGUGUCCAGAUUUUCAGUUGUUUCUG